rnacentral:lncRNA from 1 species
CGGUUGAAAAGGUAGUUGGAGGAUAAAUAAGGUAUGCGCUAGCCUUGUUCGCGUUUAGUGCGAACAAAUUCUCAGUAUGAUAAAAUAUGUUUCAUUAUUUGCGCCAGGGGCGAUGACCGAAGUCGAGGUUCUGAGGAAGGCUGUUGCCGAGGCUGAAGAAAAGGCAGCCGCGGAGCAGGCUCUUCAUGAGAAGCACGAGGCCAGGGUUAUUGAAGCUGAGCAGGAGCUUCAAGAGUCCAUGAAGAAAUGCGAGAACUUGAAGCAGAGUUUAACGGAGAAAGAAUCUAAACUCACCAGGGCUCAUCAGGCCGCGCGCGAUGCCCAGGUGGAAACCCAAGGCGCCCUGCUAGAGAUCCAAGAGGCGAGGACGAUCACGGCGGGUAUGGCUUUUUCCAUGUAAAGCAAGUAUAAGAUGAGAAAAUGAUGUUGCUAAUUUUGAGUUCAGAUUUCUCCGAGGGUAUUUGCAGGACUGCCCCGCAGCAUAUCGGAUGCCGCCCAAUUCUACCGAGCCAAAGAAGGGAACACUGCGUAUAUGCUCUUCUGGUCGCAGUAUCUGGCACCGAAUGAUCCGAUGCCUUUUGCUGACCAACUGAAACAGCUGAUCUAACUGCAUAGGGCGGCCGAACUAGCCAUGAAGGAUUUAAUUAUCCGGCUAUGGCCUGCCGAGCCGAUCCUAGGCAGCUACUUUGGGCUUGUGAAGCGGCUUGCGAGUGUCUGCCCUCGACUUGACGUCAUCAAGCGGUCGGUCUGCAUAGAGGGUGCGUGAAUGGCCUUCGCCCGCGCGAAGGUGCACUGGGGGAAGAUGGAUGCUAAAAAUCUGAUGACCGAGGGACCGCCAGAGGGGAAGGAGCACCGCAAGCCCGAAUUAUAUUAUGAAAGUGUCCUAAAGGGAUCCUGCCUAGCGGCAGAUCAAUGCACCAAGGACAUUAUAUUUCCAUGAAUACAAUCAUGUUGUCCUUUGUAAUGUUGAACAAGGUCAUUUAUAUUAUUUAUUUCCUGUUAUAUAAAAAUUUAUCCUCCUGCACGGCCGUUUUAUAUAUUAAUCUUGAGAGUUGGCCAGUCGUCGGCUUCUGCCCCCACGUAGGAAGUACGGGGGUGUUCGGGAUAAACCUGAUCACUCUUUAUCCCAGUUUUGGGUCCUUCGAAGGAGGUGGUCAGCACAACGAACCAGGCAAUCGGACUAUAGGGCUUUAUCACUCUCACUUAGCCAUAGGAGCUUUAGAAAAGUAAGGUAGGCGCAGCCCCUGGUGUUCGGAAGACCGCACGAGGGGCUAUAUAAGCGCCUGAUCAGAAGAAAGCCGAUCCAUCGCACGCUGCAUUGGUUAUGGAAUUAUGCGGAAAAAUCCUUCAAGAUUUUACAAUCUCUCGAAUAGCUGACCAGCUCUCGCCGCAUCAUGACAGUCAGUUUUCGGCUUUCUCUACUGAGGUGCUCAUCUAGAAGAACCGGGACACAAUCGCAGUAGUUCUCCCAGUGCUACCUUAGCCGAUAUAGCGGAACGUAAGGUACCAAAACGUGGGAGCCAGGCAAACCCAACUAUUGACCCAAGACAUGAUUCAGAGCUGAUGCAUAUAAUGCUAUAAGUUCGGGGUGCCGAACUUCCAUGAAGGUGUUCGGACUUGAUUGCCGUAUUAUGGGUAAAACGAAGCCCUUGGCAUAUUUAAGGCAUAUCGCGGUGUGCGGAUGCUGCAUGACAAAAGAGUUUCAACAAGAAAUAAUAGUAGAUAAGUGUUGUAUAAAUCCACAUGUUGUAUUUGAGUAGUACGUCAAUGCGUGUGAGUACAUGUAAUGUGAUGGAGAAGAAAUAUGACUGUGGAACCUGCUUAGACCAGGGGGGAAGAAGAUGUGUGCGGAUCCGGAGUAUAGUCGGAUGGUCAUCGCGGGGAAUAUAUAAGGAUUCCCUUCUGCAUUCGGGCUGCUUCCAUAUCGCCAGUCCUGGUCUACGCAAAGUUGAACAUGCAAAUGAAAUGUAAGAAAUGCUUGUGUGCCGCAGAGCGGUUGAGCCACGGUAUGUGGCCUGUCCUGGCGCUCGCCGGAGUGUUUAAUUGAGCUCUGGACGAGCCGGACUAUCCUGCCGCAAAGUAGUUCAAAGUCCUUUGGCGGUGUCCGAGAAUCAGGCCGUCUACUCGAGGUUCGGUUGGAAGGUGCCACUUGUAGCUCCUGCUGUUAAGGCACCGGUAUACUCCUCGGUGCCAAGGGAAAGUUUGACCUUGCCAUUAACCAUGAUGACGCCGCACGGACCGGGCAUCUUGAGCUUACAGUAGGCAUAAUAUGGCACCGCGUUGAAUCGAGCGAAUGCGGUUCGUCCGAGCAGUGCCUGAUGAUCACUGCGAAAGGGGACGAUAUCGAAGAUUAACUCUUUGGCACGGUAAUUGUCUGGCAAUCCAAAGACUACCUCCAGGGCGAUGGAGCCAGUACAACUGGCCUCCACACCUGGUAUAAUACCUCUGAGGGUGGUUGUCGUGGGCUUGAUCACCGAAUGAUCGAUGCCCAUCUUGCGCACUAUGUCUUGGUAGAGCAGGUUUAGACUGCUACCUCCGUCCAUAAGGACUCGUGUGAGGUGGAACCCGUCAAUUAUUGGGUCGAGGACUAGUGCGGCUGGAUUGCACUGAGUGGUGUUAACCGGACGAUCCGUGUGGUUGAAGGCGAUCGGCCCCAGUUUAUAUUGUGGGACGACUGGUUCCGUUAAGUCGACAUCCCUGAGGGUGUGCGUUCGGUCCGGGUUGGGAGUGUAGGUGCCGUUUACCACAUUUACGUUCACCGUUUGGAUUUGCGGUGGAAAUUUCUUUUGCUCUCCUGUACUUGGCGAGCUGGGCUCCUCGUCUCCAUCGUCGCUUUGAGACCCCUUAUCUUUGUUUUUGGCACCUGACCUAUCGGCUUGUUUGAAGACCCAGCAUUUUCUGUUAGUAUGAUAGGCUGGUGUUCCCGGGGUGCCGUGAAUUUGGCAUGGGUGGUCGAGUAUGCGGUCUAGGCUGGACGGACCCAGAUUGUCAUUUUUGAGUGGCCCAUUCUGCUGACUGGACUUAGAUGUUGGGGAACGUAGUAAUUUCAAAAAAUUUCCUACGCACACACAAGAUCAUGGUGAUGCAUAGCAACGAGGGGGAGAGUCUGAUCUACGUACCCUUGUAGAUCGCAACGGAAGCGUUGACACAACAUAGAGGAAGUAGUCGUACGUCUUCUUCCCGAUCCGACCGAUCCAAGCACCUUUACUCCGGCACCUUCGAGUUCUUAGCACACGUACAGCUCGAUGACGAUCCCCGGGCUCCGAUCCAGCAAAGCUUCGGGGAGGAGUUCUGUCAGCACGACGGCGUGGUGACGAUCUUGAUGUUCUACCGAUGCAGGGCUUCGCCUAAGCACUACAACGAUAUGAUCGAGGUGGAAUAUGGUGGCAGGGGGCACCGCACACGGCUAAGGAACGAUCACAAUGAUCAACUUGUGUGUCUAGAGGUGCCCCUCCCCCUGUAUAUAAAGGAGCAAGGGGGGAGAGGUGCGGCCAGCCUUGGGGCGCGCCAGGAGGAGUCCUACUCCUACCGGGAGUAGGACUCCCCCCCCCCAAUCCUAGUUGGAAUAGGAAUCCUCAAGGGGGAAAGAGAGAGAGGGGGGUCGGCCACCUCUCCUAGUCCUAAUAGGAUUGGGGAGGGGGGAGGCGCGCGGCCACCUUGGACUGCUCCCUUCUCCUUUCCAGUAAGGCCCACUAUGGCCCAUAUGAUUCCCGGGGGGUUCCGGUAACCUCCCGGUACUCCGGUAAAAUCCCAAUUUCACCCGGAACACUUCCGAUGUCCAAACAUAGGCUUCCAAUAUAUAAAUCUUUAUGUCUCGACCAUUUCGAGACUCCUCGUCAUGUCCGUGAUCACAUCCGGGACUCCAAACAAUCUUCGGUACAUCAAAAUGCAUAAAACUCAUAAUAACUGUCAUCGUAACGUUAAGCGUGCAGACCCUACGGUUCGAGAACAAUGUAGACAUGACUGAGACACAUCUCCUGUCAAUAACCAAUAGCGGGACCUCGAUGCCCAUAUUGGUUCCUACAUAUUCUUUGAAGAUCUUUAUCGGUCAGACCGCAUAACAACAUACGUUGUUCCCUUUGUCAUCGGUAUGUUACUUGCCUGAGAUUCGAUCGUCAGUAUCCAAUACCUAGUUCAAUCUCGUUACCGGCAAGUCUCUUUACUCAUUUCGUAAUACAUCAUCCCGCAACUAACUCAUUAGUUGCAAUGCUUAAGUGAUGUGCAUUACUGAGAGGGCCCAGAGAUACCUCUCCGACAAUCGGAGUGACAAAUCCUAUUCUCGAAAUACGCCAACCCAACAUCUACCAUUGGAGACACCUGUAGUACUCCUUUAUAAUCACCCAGUUACGUUGUGACGUUUGGUAGCACCCAAAGUGUUCCUCCGGCAAACGGGAGUUGCAUAAUCUCAUAGUUAUAGGAACAUGUAUAAGUCAUGAAGAAAGCAAUAGCAACAUACUAAUGAUGUGACCUCGUUAAUCAAAUAACAACUCUUUGCUCAUGGUUAGGAAACAUAACCAUCUUUGAUUAACGAGCUAGUCUAGUAGAGGCAUACUAGUGACACUCUGUUUGUCUAUGUAUUCACACAUGUAUUAUGUUUCUGGUUAAUACAAUUCUAGCAUGAAUAAUAAACAUUUAUCAUGAUAUAAGGAAAUAAAUAAUAACUUUAUUAUUGCCUCUAGGGCAUAUUUCCUUCAGUCUCCCACUUGCACUAGAGUCAAUAAUCUAGAUUACACAGCAAUGAUUCUAACACCCAUGGAGCCUUGGUGCUGAUCAUGUUUUGCACGUGGAAGAGGCUUAGUCAACGGGUCUGCAACAUUCAGAUCCGUAUGUAUCUUGCAAAUCUCUAUGUCUCCCACCUGGACUAGAUCCCGGAUGGAAUUAAAGCGUCUCUUGAUGUGCUUGGUUCUUUUGUGAAAUCUGGAUUCCUUUGCCAAGGCAAUUGCACCAGUAUUGUCACAAAAGAUUUUCAUUGGACCCGAUGGACUAGGUAUGACACCUAGAUCGGAUAUGAACUCCUUCAUCCAGACUCCUUCGUUCGCUGCUUCUGAAGCAGCUAUGUACUCAGAUUCACAUGUAGAUCCCGCUACGACACUUUGUUUAGAACUGCACCAACUGACAGCUCCACCGUUUAAUGUAAACACGUAUCCGGUUUGCGAUUUAGAAUCGUCCGGAUCAGUGUAAAAGCUUGCAUCAACGUAACCUCUUAAGGUGAGCUCUUUGUCACCUCCAUAUACGAGAAACAUAUCCUUAGUCCUUUUCAGGUAUUUCAGGAUGUUCUUGACUGCUGUCCAGUGAUCCACUCCUGGAUUACUUUGGUACCUCCCUGCUAAACUUAUAGCAAGGCACACAUCAGGUCUGGUACACAGCAUUGCAUACAUGAUAGAGCCUAUGGCUAAAGCAUAGGGAACAUCUUUCAUUUUCUCUCUAUCUUCUGCAGUGGUCGGGCAUUGAGUCUGACUCAACUUCACACCUUGUAACACAGGCAAGAACCCUUUCUUUGCUUGAUCCAUUUUGAACUUCUUCAAAAUCUUGUCAAGGUAUGUGCUUUGUGAAAGUCCAAUUAAGCGUCUUGAUCUAUCUCUAUAGAUCUUUAUGCCUAAUAUGUAAGCGGCUUCACCGAGGUCUUUCAUUGAAAAACUCUUAUUCAAGUAUCCCUUUAUGCUAUCCAGAAAUUCUAUAUCAUUUCCAAUCAGUAAUAUGCCAUCCACAUAUAAUAUCAGAAAUGCUACAGAGCUCCCACUCACUUUCUUGUAAAUACAGGCUUCUCCGAAAGUCUGUAUAAAACCAAAUGCUUUGAUCACACUAUCAAAGCGUUUAUUCCAACACCGAGAGGCUUGCACCAGUCCAUAAAUGGAUCGCUGGAGCUUGCACACUUUGUUAGCUCCUUUUGGAUUGACAAAACCUUCCGGUUGCAUCAUAUACAACUCUUCUUCCAGAAAUCCAUUCAGGAAUGCAGUUUUGACAUCCAUCUGCCAAAUUUCAUAAUCAUAAAAUGCGGCAAUUGCUAACAUGAUUCUGACAGACUUAAGCAUCGCUACGGGUGAGAAGGUCUCAUCAUAGUCAACCCCUUGAACUUGUCGAAAACCUUUUGCGACAAGUCGAGCUUUAUAGACAGUAAUAUUACCGUCGGUGUCAGUCUUUUUCUUGAAAAUCCAUUUAUUCUCAAUUGCUUGCCGAUCAUCGGGCAAGUCAACCAAAGUCCACACUUUGUUCUCAUACAUGCAUCCCAGCUCAGAUUUCAUGGCUUCUAGCCACUUUGCGGAAUCUGGGCUCACCAUCGCUUCUUCAUAGUUCGUAGGUUCAUCAUGAUCUAGUAGCAUGAUUUCCAGAACUGGAUUACCGUACCACUCUGGUGCGGAUCUCACUCUGGUUGAUCUAUGAGGUUCAGUAGCAUCUUGUUCUGAAGUUUCAUGAUCAUGAUCAUUAACUUCCUCACUUAUUGGUGUAGGUAUCGCAGAAACAGUUUUCUGUGAUGUACUACUUUCCAACAAGGGAGCAGGUACAGUUACCUCGUCAAGUUCUACUUUCCUCCCACUCAGUUCUUUCGAGAGAAACUCCUUCUCUAGAAAUGAUCCAUUCUUAGCAAUGAAUGUCUUGCCUUCGGAUCUGUGAUAGAAGGUGUACCCAAUAGUCUCCUUUGGGUAUCCUAUGAAGACACAUUUCUCCGAUUUGGGUUCGAGCUUAUCAGGUUGAAGCUUUUUCACAUAAGCAUCGCAGCCCCAAACUUUAAGAAACGACAACUUUGGUUUCUUGCCAAACCACAGUUCAUAAGGCGUCAUCUCAAUGGAUUUUGAUGGUGCCCUAUUUAACGUGAAUGCGGCCGUCUCUAGAGCGUAUCCCCAAAACGAUAGCGGUAAAUCAGUAAGAGACAUCAUAGAUCGCACCAUAUCUAGUAAAGUACGAUUACGACAUUCGGACACACCAUUACGCUGUGGUGUUCCGGGUGGCGUGAGUUGCGAAACUAUUCCACAAUUUUUCAAAUGUACACCAAACUCGUAACUCAAAUAUUCUCCUCCACGAUUAGAUCGUAGAAACUUUAUUUUCUUGUUACGAUGAUUUUCAACUUCACUCUGAAAUUCUUUGAACUUUUCAAAUGUUUCAGACUUAUGUUCCAUUAAGUAGAUAUACCCAUAUCUGCUUAAAUCAUCUGUGAAAGUGAGAAAAUAACGAUAUCCGCCACGAGCCUCAAUAUUCAUCGGACCACAUACAUCGGUAUGUAUGAUUUCCAACAAAUCUGUUGCUCUCUCCAUAGUACCGGAGAACGGUGUUUUAGUCAUCUUGCCCAUGAGGCACGGUUCGCAAGUACCAAGUGAUUCAUAAUCAAGAGGUUCCAAAAGCCCAUUAGUAUGGAGUUUCUUCAUGCGCUUUAUACCGAUAUGACCUAAACGGCAGUGCCACAAAUAAGUUGCACUAUCAUUAUCAACUCUGCAUCUUUUGGCUUCAACAUUAUGAAUAUGUGUGUUACUACUAUCGAGAUUCAUCAAAAAUAGACCACUCUUAAAAGGUGCAUGACCAUAAAAGAUAUUACUCAUAUAAAUAGAACAACCAUUAUUCUCUGAUUUAAAUGAAUAACCGUCUCGCAGCAAACAAGAUCCAGAUAUAAUGUUCAUGCUUAACGCUGGCACCAAAUAACAAUUAUUUAGGUCUAAUAUUAAUCCCGAAGGUAGAUGUAGAGGUAGCGUGCCGACCGCGAUCACAUCGACUUUGGAACCGUUUCCCACGCGCAUCGUCACCUCGUCCUUCGCCAGUGUUCGCUUAAUCCGUAGUCCCUGUUUCGAGUUGCAAAUAUUAGCAACAGAACCAGUAUCAAAUACCCAGGUGCUACUGCGAGCUCUAUUAAGGUACACAUCAAUAACAUGUAUAUCACAUAUACCUUUGUUCACCUUGCCAUCCUUCUUAUCCGCCAAAUACUUGGGGCAGUUCCGCUUCCAGUGACCAGUCUGCUUGCAAGAGAAGCACUCAGUUUCAGGCUUAGGUCCAGACUUGGGUUUCUUCUCCUGAGCAGCAACUUGCUUGCCGUUCUUCUUGAAGUUCCCCUUCUUCUUCCCUUUGCCCUUUUUCUUGAAACUAGUGGUCUUGUUAACCAUCAACACUUGAUGCUCCUUCUUGAUUUCUACCUCCACACCUUUCAGCAUUGCGAAGAGCUCGGGAAUAGUCUUGUUCAUCCCUUGCAUAUUAUAGUUCAUCACAAAGCUCUUGUAGCUUGGUGGUAGUGAUUGGAGAAUUCUGUCAAUGACGCAAUCAUCUGGAAGAUUAACUCCCAUCUGAAUCAAGUGAUUGUUAUACCCAGACAUUUUGAGUAUAUGCUCACUGACAGAACUGUUCUCCUCCAUCUUGCAGCUAUAGAACUUAUUGGAGACUUCAUAUCUCUCAAUCCGGGCAUUUGCUUGAAAUAUUAACUUCAACUCCUGGAACAUCUCAUAUGCUCCAUGACGUUCAAAACGUCGUUGAAGUCCUGAUUCUAAGCCGUAAAGCAUGGCACACUGAACUAUCGAGUAGUCAUCAGCUUUACUCUGCCAGACGUUCAUAACAUCUGGUCUUGCUCCAGCAGCAGGCCUGGCACCCAGCGGUGCUUCCAGGACGUAAUUCUUCUGUGCAGCAAUGAGGAUAAUCCUCAAGUUACGGACCCAGUCCGUGUAAUUGCUACCAUCAUCUUUCAACUUUGCUUUCUCAAGGAACGCAUUAAAAUUCAAUGAAACAACAGCACGAGCCAUCUAUCUACAAUCAACAUAAACAAGCAAGAUAGUAUCAGGUACUAAGUUCAUGAUAAGAUUAAGUUCAAUUAAUCAGAUUACUUAAGAAUUCCCACUUAGAUAGACAUCCCUCUAAUCCUCUAAGUGAUUACGUGAUCCAAAUCAACUAAACCAUAACCGAUCAUCACGUGGGAUGGAGUAGUUUUCAAUGGUGAACAUCGUUAUGUUGAUCAUAUCUACUAUAUGAUUCACGCUCGACCUUUCGGUCUACGUGUUCCGAGGCCAUAUCUGCAUAUGCUAGGCUCGUCAAGUUUAACCUGAGUAUUCUGCGUGUGCAAAACUGGCUUGCACCCGUUGUAGAUGGACGUAGAGCUUAUCACACCCGAUCAUCACGUGGUGUCUGGGCACGACGAACUUUGGCAAUCGUGCAUACUCAGGGAGAACACUUCUUGAUAAUUUAGUGAGAGAUCAUCUUAUAAUGCUACCGUCAAUCGAAGCAAGAUAAGAUGCAUAAAAAGAUAAACAUCACAUGCAAUCAAUAUAAGUGAUAUGAUAUGGCCAUCAUCAUCUUGUGCUUGUGAUCUCCAUCUCCGAAGCACCGUCAUGAUCACCAUCGUCACCGGCGCGACACCUUGAUCUCCAUCGUAGCAUCGUUGUCGUCUCGCCAAUCUUAUGCUUCCACGACUAUCACUACCGCUUAGUAAUAAAGUAAAGCAUUACAUCGCGAUUGCAUUGCAUACAAUAAAGCGACAACCAUAUGGCUCCUGCCAGUUGCCGAUAACUCGGUUACAAAACAUGAUCAUCUCAUAUAAUAAAAUUUAGCAUCAUGCCUUGACCAUAUCACAUCACAACAUGCCCUGCAAAAACAAGUUAGACGUCCUCUACUUUGUUGUUGCAAUUUUUACGUGGCUGCUACGGGCUUUAAGCAAGAACCAAUCUCACCUACGCAUCAAAACCACAACGAUAGUUUGUCAAAUAGACUCCGUUUUAACCUUCUCAAGGACCGGGCGUUGCCACACUCGGUUCAACUAAAAUUGGAGAGACAGUCGCCCGCAAGCCAUCUAUGUGCAAAGCACGUCGAGGGAACCGGUCUCGCGUAAGCGUACGCGUAAUGUUGGUCCGGGUCGUCUCGUCCAACAAUACCGCUGAACCAAAGUAUGACAUGCUGGUAGGCAGUAUGACUUAUAUCGCCCACAACUCACUUGUGUUCUACUCGUGCAAAUAACAUCAAACCAUAAAACCUAGGCUCUGAUACCACUGUUGGGGAUCAUAGUAAUUUCAAAAAAAUUCCUACGCACACACAAGAUCAUGGUGAUGCAUAGCAACGAGGGGGAGAGUCUGAUCUACGUACCCUUGUAGAUCGCAACGGAAGCGUUGACACAACGUAGAGGAAGUAGUCGUACGUCUUCUUCCCGAUCCGACCGAUCCAAGCACCGUUACUCCGGCACCUCCGAGUUCUUAGCACACGUACAGCUCUAUGACGAUCCCCGGGCUCCGAUCCAGCAAAGCUUCGGGGAGGAGUUCCGUCAGCACGACGGCGUGGUGACGAUCUUGAUGUUCUACCGACACAGGGCUUCGCCUAAGCACUACAACGAUAUGAUCGAGGUGGAAUAUGGUGGCAGGGGGCACCGCACACGGCUAAGGAAUGAUCACAAUGAUCAACUUGUGUGUCUAGAGGUGCCCCUGCCCCUGUAUAUAAAGGAGCAAGGGAGGAGAGGUGCGGCCAGCCUUGGGGCGCGCCAGGAGGAGUCCUACUCCUACCGGGAGNNNNNNNNNNNNNNNNNNNNNNNNNNNNNNNNNNNNNNNNNNNNNNNNNNNNNNNNNNNNNNNNNNNNNNNNNNNNNNNNNNNNNNNNNNNNNNNNNNNNNNNNNNNNNNNNNNNNNNNNNNNNNNNNNNNNNNNNNNNNNNNNNNNNNNNNNNNNNNNNNNNNNNNNNNNNNNNNNNNNNNNNNNNNNNNNNNNNNNNNNNNNNGCCGGCCACCUCUCCUAGUCCUAAUAGGACUAGGGGAGGGGGGAGGCGCGCGGCCACCUUGGGCUGCUCCCUUCUCCUUUCCACUAAGGCCCACUAUGGCCCAUAUGAUUCCCGGGGAGUUCCGGUAACCUCCCGGUACUCCGGUAAAAUCCCGAUUUCACCCGGAACACUUCCGAUGUCCAAACAUAGGCUUCCAAUAUAUCAAUCUUUAUGUCUCGACCAUUUCGAGACUCCUCGUCAUGUCCGUGAUCACAUCCGGGACUCCGAACAAUCUUCGGUACAUCAAAAUGCAUAAACUCAUAAUAACUGUCAUCGUAACGUUAAGCGUGCGGACCCUACGGUUCGAGAACAAUGUAGACAUGACUGAGACACAUCUCCGGUCAAUAACCAAUAGUGGGACCUGGAUGCCCAUAUUGGUUCCUACAUAUUCUUCGAAGAUCUUUAUCAGUCAGACCGCAUAACAACAUACGUUGUUCCCUUUGUCAUCCGUAUGUUACUUGCCCGAGAUUCGAUCGUCGGUAUCCAAUACCUAGUUCAAUCUCGUUACCGGAAAGUCUCUUUACUUGUUUCGUAAUACAUCAUCCCACAACUAAAUCAUUAGUUGCAAUGCUUGCAAGGCUUAAGUGAUGUGCAUUACCGAGAGGGCCCAGAGAUACCUCUCUGACAAUCGGAGUGACAAAUCCUAUUCUCGAAAUACGCCAACCCAACAUCUACCAUUGGAGACACAUGUAGUACUCCUUUAUAAUCACCCAGUUACGUUGUGACCACAAUUACAUGAAUAAACAUUACAUCAAUCAAAUACACUCAUGGUCUGACUACGGAACCAAAAUAAAAGAAGAACCCCAAAUGCGACAAAGGCCCCCGAUCAACCCCAACUGGGCUCCACUACUGAUCAACUAGAACGGAAACAACACAAAGGUUCAAUGAGCUCCUCCUGAGCUUGGUUGCGUCAUCUGCACAGACUCAUCGGCACCUGCAAGCUGGUUUUGGAAGUAUCUGUGAGCCACGGGGACUCAGCAAUCUCACACCCUCGCGAUCAAGACUAUUUAAGCUUAUGGGUAAGGUAAAGGUAUGAGGUGGAGCUGCAGCAAGCGACUAGCAUAUAUGGUGGCUAACAUACGCAAAUGAGAGCGAGAAGAGAAGGCAAAGCACGGUCGAUAAAAGUAUGAUCAAGAAGUGAUCCUGGACUACCUACGUCAAGCAUAACUCCAACAACCGUGUUCACUUCCCGGACUCCGCCGGAAAGAGACCAUCACGGUUACACACGCGGUUGAUUCAUUUUAAUUAAGGUCGACUUCAGGUUUUCUACAACCGGACGUUAACAAAUUCCCAUCUGCCCAUAACCGCAGGCACGGCUUUCGAAAGUUCAAAUCCCUGCAGGGUGUCCCAACUUAGCCCAUGACAAGCUCUCACGGUCAACGAAGGAAUAUACCUCCACCCGAGACGUUCCGAUCAGACUCGGUAUCCCGGUACAACAAGACAUUUCGACAGGGUAAAACUAAACUAGCAACACCGCCCGAUGCGCCGACAUCCUGAUAGGAGCUGCACAUAUCUCGUUCUCAGGGCAACAACGGAUAAGCAGUCCGUACAACUAAAACCAGCCCUCGAGUUUCCCCGAGGUGGCGCUGCAAGGGGCUCUAGUUUGGACCAACGCUUAGACAAGCACUGGCCCGGGGGGGUUAAAAUAAAGAUGACCCUCAGGAUGCGCGACUCCCAAGGGAAAAAAGCUAGGUGGCAAAUGGUAAAACCAAUGUUGGGCAUUGCUGGAAAAGCUUUACUUAAGGUGAACUGUCAAGGGGUUCCCAUUAUAGCCCAACCGCGUAAGGGACGCAAAAUCCGGGAACAUAACACCGAUAUGACGGAAACUAGGGCGGCAAGAGUGGAACAAAACACCAGGCAUAAGGCCGAGCCUUCCACCCUUUACCAAGUAUAUAGAUGCAUUAAUUAAAUAAGAUAUAUUGUGAUAUCCCAACAAGUAACCAAUGUUCCAACAAGGAACGAACUUCAAUCUUCACCUGCAACUAACAACGCUAUAAGAGGGGCUGAGCAAAGCGGUAACAUAGCCAAUCAACGGUUUGCUAGGACAUGGUGGGUUAGAGGUUUGACGUGGCAAUUGGGAGGCUGACAAGCAAAUGGUAGGCAUCGUAGCAUUGGCAUAGCAAAAGAGCGAGCAAACUAGCAUAGCAAAGAUAGUAGUGAUUUCGAGGGUAUGAUCAUCUUGCCUGAAAUCCCGCAAGGAAGAAGAACGAGUCCAUGAAGAAGACAAACGGACGUAGUUGAACGGAUCCUCACAAACUCGACGUUACCGGAACCAACCCGAAGAAGCAAUCACCGGAAAAGAAGCACACAACAUAGUAAACAACCAACACAUCAACAUGGCAUGAUGCACAAUCAAGUAUGAUGCAUGUCCGGUUUAAAGAGGCAUGGCAUGGCAAAAUGCACAAACAAUCCUACAAAUUAAGUGGAGCUCAAUAUGCAACGAGUUGCAUAUUGACGAAACACCACAUGACUUAUUUAGUUCGAUCUCGUUUAUGUACCCAACAAUAUUAAAUGUUGAUUAACAUGGCAAGAGGUGAACCACAACAAAACUACCUAUCUAGGCAAGUUUAAAUGAGGCCGGAAGCAACGAACAACAAUUCUGGAAAAUCCUCAUAUGCAUAAUUUAAGGUUUGGUACUGUUCUUCCCUAAACAUAAUUUUAGAGUUGUUUAACAUGUAAAGUAAGGUCACCAUGAUAAACUAGGCAAAAUUCUACCCCAUUUACAUAUAAAGAUUAUUUAAAUCGGAGCUACGGUUAUUUAGUUAUGAAUUAAAUCAUAUUAGCAUGGCAUAGGAGCAAAUUAAUGCAAACAACAUUUUAAACAUUUUAAACAUGGAUGAAAGUUGGAUAUUAUUAAUCUACACAAAAUUCUAAGCAAGUUUCAUAUAUAAAUCAUUUUAAUCCGAUGCACGGUUGUGAAGUUAUUAUAUGCAUGAAAAAUAGGGACUAUACUGCAAAACUGGCUGUCUCAGGAUAAUUGGAAAAAAAACGCAGGCGCUGAAAAAAAUACAUCACGGGCCGAAUCUGAGGCAAGCCCACAGCAGGAAGGAAAAAAACAAUAGAGGCGGCGCUGGUGGUUGCUCACCCAUGGGCCUGGCCCAGUCGGAGGGGAAGAGGCAGGCCGGAAGGGCGGCUGGGGAUGGGCCUGGCGCUGCGGAUCUGGCCCGGCUGGAGUUGGCCUGGAAGACCAAGGCGGCGCUGGGCCUUGGCGCAUCGGCCCAUGCGGGGAUGAGGCAGAAGCAGGCCGAGGCGGGGCGCGGAUCUGGAGCUGGGCUGGACUCGGGGCCCGCGAAGAAGUCAACGGAGGCGCUCGGCUCCUCCCGAUCGGAUCGGGGAAGGCAGGGCGAGGCGUAGAACCAUGGCGACGGCGGCGGGCCCCCGGCAAGGGUCGACGGCGGCGACAGCGCCGGAGAGCGAGGUCCGGUGAGGCGGCAGGAAACGGGCGGAUCCGGCGGGGCUCGGCUCCCCGGGGCCGGAUCAGGCACAACGGAGGCGCUGGGAGUAGCGGCUCCUGCCUGGACGAGGCUUGGCGAGCUCCGGCGAAGUCCGGGUGGCCGGUGAAGAAUAGGCGGCGGGCGGCGGACGGCGUCGGGGAGGACGAAGGCGGCUCCUCCCGGGCGGCGGCACGAGGAGCUGGACCCGCGCGGGCCGGUUGCGGGCUCUCUAGGCCCGGCGGCGAAGUGGGGAGGCUGGGCGCUGACAUGGCGCGCGGUGAGUGGAGGGAAGCGGCGGCGGGGCGACGUGUCACGCUCUCAUUGGGCGGAGUGAGGUGGCGCGCGGGGCGGACAUGUCCGGUGCAGCGCGGACGCGUCCGGAUGCGCGGUGGAGGAAGAAGACUAGGGUUUCAUCCGAAAUUUCGGGGAGGGGUGCUCUUUUAUAGGUAGAGGGAGCUAGGAGAGUCCAAAUGAGGUGCGGUCUGCGGCCAUGCGAUCGUGAUCGAACGACCGAGAUGAUGGAGCAGAGUUAGGUGGGUUUUGGACCAAAAAGGAAGGGUGUUGGGCUGCAACACACACGAGGCCUUCUUGGUCCCUCGGUUAACCGUUGGAGUAUCAAACGAAGUCCAAAUGGUACGAAACUUGACAGGCGGUCUACCGGUAGUAAACCAAGGCCGCUUGGCAAGUCUCGGUCCAAUCCGGAAAUGUUUAAUCCCCACACAAGAAAGAAAGAUAGAAAUGACCACCGGAGGAGAACGGAACGCCGGAAUGCAAAACGGACAACGGGGAAAAUGCUCGAAUGCAUGAGAUGAACACGUAUGCAAAUGAAAUGCGCAUGAUGACAUGAUAUGCAAUGCAUGACACGCAAGCAAAGACAAGGCAACAACAGCGAAUAACUGAAUGACAGCUGGCACAUCGGUCUCGGAGCGUUACAACACUCCACCACUACGAGAGGAUCUCGUCCCGAGAUCUAGAAUGGCACCGGAGGGAAAAACGGAAGAGAAAGAGAAGAGGUAAAACAAAUUGCUUCUUUGACAAACGAGUGAAACCACGAACCUUGAGAGGUUGAACAAAUUGAAAGAAAGAAUACAACGAAGAUGAACAAAAUUGAAAACACCCCGUUAGAAACGAGGGACAAAGAGCAUUGCGAAACCUUGAGGUUGAAGGGAAGAUAUAUAUAGAAAAACACUCCGGUUAAGGAAGGGGGUCAAGGGAAACCCAAAAUUCGGGCAGCACUCCAGUUGAAAAGAAAAGGAAUUGAAUAAGGUCUUGAUAAGAUGAGAAGAUACUUGAUGAAAUCACAACACACUGCCACCGGAACUAUUGAAUGAAUGGAACAAGGGGUAAGAAAGAUCUCAGAUAGCACUCCGGUUGAGAAGGGAGUCAAAAUUUGAUAAGAUGAGAGAGCUCAAAUGAAAACACGACACUCCAGUUGAGAAAGGGAUGCAAGACUUGAUAAGGCGAAAAGAACUUGAACAAAGGGGCACAAUACUCCGGUUAAGCAAGAUAGGGAAGGAAUAAGAGUGAUAUAAUUUGGACAGCACUCCGCCUGUAAAUGGAAGGAAUUGAACAAGACAAGAUGAGAGGAUACUUGAAAAGAGGACACAACACUCCAAUUAAAAGGAUAGGCACGACAAGAACACGAUCCUGAUAAAACAAGAAGAUGGGUUGAAGAGAGAAACAUCACCAUGCCUCCGGAACAAAAGAGUAGAGUAAAGAUAAUUGAGACAAGCGAAUGUAGAAGACAAUGCCAACUUCUGCUACAAAAGA